rnacentral:rRNA from 1 species
AGUAACUGCGAGUGAAGCGGGAAAAGCUCAAAUUUAAAAUCUGGUGGUCUUUGGCCAUCCGAGUUGUAAUUUAGAGAAGCGUCUUCCGCGCUGGACCGUGCACAAGUCUCCUGGAAUGGAGCGUCAUAGAGGGUGAGAAUCCCGUCUUUGGCAUGGACCCCAGGGCUUCUGUGAUGCGCUCUCAAAGAGUCGAGUUGUUUGGGAAUGCAGCUCAAAAUGGGUGGUGAACUCCAUCUAAAGCUAAAUAUUGGCGAGAGACCGAUAGCGAACAAGUACCGUGAGGGAAAGAUGAAAAGCACUUUGGAAAGAGAGUGAAACAGUACGUGAAAUUGUUGAAAGGGAAACGCUUGAAGUCAGUCGCGUCGACCGAGACUCAGCCUUGCCUUGGCUUGGUGUACUUCUCGGCUGACGGGUCAGCAUCAAUUUCGAUCCUUGGAUAAUGGCAAGGGAAAGGUAGCACCUUUACAGGUGUGUUAUAGUCCUCUGUCGCAUGCAAGGGUUGGGAUUGAGGAACUCAGCACGCGCCUUGUCGGUGUCGGGGCCUUUUGGCCUACGUACGUGCUUAGGAUGCUGGCAUAAUGGCUUUAAACGACCCGUCUUGAAACACGGACCAAGGAGUCUAACAUGCACGCGAGUGUUCGGGUGGAAAACCCGUGCGCGUAAUGAAAGUAAAAGUUGGGACCUCUGUCGUGGAGGGCACCGACGCCCGGACCAGACCUUCUGUGACGGCUCUGCGGUAGAGCGUG